rnacentral:rRNA from 1 species
GACGAACGCUGGCGGCGUGCUUAACACGUGCAAGUCGAACGGAAAGGCCCUGCUUUUGUGGGGUGCUCGAGUGGCGAACGGGUGAGUAACCCGUGAGUAACCUGCCCUUGACUUUGGGAUAACUUCAGGAAACUGGGGCUAAUACCGGAUAGGAGCUCCUGCUGCAUGGUGGGCGUUGGAACGUUUCGGCGGUUGGGGAUGGACGCGCGGCUUAUGAGCUUGUUGGUGGGGUAGUGGCUUACGAAGGCUGUGAAGGGUAGCCGGCAUGAGAGGGUGACCGGCGACCUUGGGCCUAAGAGAGGGAGCAGUCGGGUACGGGAGGCAAUAGUGGAGAAUAUUGCACAAUGGGCGGGAGUGUGAGACAGAAACGUCGCGUGCGGGAUGCCGGCCUUUGGGUUAUAAACAGCUUCGGCCGGAGACGAAGCGUGAGUGACGGUAAUGGAUAAAGAAGCACCGGCUAACUACGUG